CCACGUGUGGUAAGAGGCAAGGAGUGAUUUUGAGUUCGUGUCUCCCUGGCCGAGCAGUAAAUAGUAAUCAGUGUCCAACCAUUGCCAGGUACACAGUGGGCGCUCAAUAAAUGCUGGAUGGAACCUAGCUGCAGGGGCCCAUUCAACCAAGCCUGGCUGCUACACACCUACUUGUGCCAGUGGCUGGAGGCCCCACUUCCUCAGGGCAACUGUACCUACUGUGUGUUAGUGGCCACACCACCUCACAUCUCCCAGGUAGGUACUUUAUUGUUUGCCACUGGUUAGACCACCCCCCAUGGUUGCUGCACAUCUACUGUGCGCCAGUGGCCAGACCCCCUCCCCACUUCUCUUAGGUGACUGCACCUACUGUGUGCCACUGUGCUCACAGUGCCCCCCUCCUUUGGGUAACCCUAUACCUAAUUUGCACCACCAUCCAGAUCCUCACUUUCCCCAUGAGUCAGAUUUCCCUCCCUCCCUCCCUCUCCCCCCAUAGCUAUACACCUACUAUUCACAGAUGGCUGAGACUUGGCCAUCUACUCUGUGCUAGAAAGGCAUGGUCUCUCCAAGAAAACCCCUAGGACCCUCUGUGGCUGAGGGUCAACCAAGGCAGGGCCAGCAGCCCCAAGCUCGCAGCCAACUCCCUCACCUGUGUUAUAAUAGUAGCCCUUAUUCUCCAGCCCCAGGGUCCACAGGCCCUGCGGGUCCUCAUCCCAGUAGUGAGUAGACAUGAAGAUCCAGUUGUUGUAGCCUUGGCCGCUGAUAUCCAAGGGUCUGUGGCCAGUGGGUGGCACAGGAGAGAAAGGGCUCUCACAGGAGUCUUCUGAGUCCCACCGGGUAGGGUCCCACCUGCGGGAGGCUAGGGAGGACACCGCUGGUUCCCAGGGCCCUUGGGGAUUUCUCACACCUGAUGGCCACAAGCGUGGAGCGCGUGCCCAUGGGGCUGGUGAGGAAGAUCUCCAGGUCCCCGCGGCGGCUGUAGGAGAGCGACAGCUGGACCUGAACAUGCUCUAGCGAGCGGAUGAGGCGGCGGCGCGAGCCAUCGCAGCACACAGUCACGUUCUUUGGCACCAGCAUCCGAGGCAGGAUGGGGCUGGUGGGUGAGGACGGUCCUGUGGGUCUGCUGCGGGCCAGGUAGAGCCCAGAGGCGGGUUUGGGGGGGCACUGUCCAAGGGCCUGAGGGCACUCUUUCCUCAGAUGGGUAAACUGAGGUUUCGGGGCAUCCUCCCUGCCUUGGACUAAGGUGGGGGAAUUACUGGAGGAAGGGGACUACAACAAAGUGUAGGGUGGAGACCUGGACAGAACCCCCCGCGCGGGCGUCGAGUCUGGACCUCCGGACCUCCCUCCAGUGGGCGGGGCCCCUCCCUCCAUCGGGGCGGGGCCUCUCUCACGUUGGGGUGUGCACCACCCGAAUGGUGCAUUUCUUCUGAGGCUUAGUAGGGAGCCACACGCGAGCCAGGUCUACCAGCAGCCCCGCGUCCAGCAGCCCAUAGCCAUAGUGGUGGCUCACUGCGCGGGAGGGGUAGCCGUCACUGGCCCUGCGUACACGGCACCCCCUUCCCCUGCCUGGCCCCGCCGCACCUUGGCGCCCCACGCCGUUGAUCCUCCAGUCCUCCGCCUGCAGCUGCGCCGGCCUGGACGCGCGGACCACCAGGUGCUGCAGGUCCCUCCAGCGCCAGGGCGAUCAUGCCAGCGGCCAGCGGGGCGGAGGCCGAGGUGCCCGUGUGCUUGUCGGUGCAUUGAUGGUGUAGGUCCGUGGUGACCUGGGGACAGACAGCAGAGGGACCUUGAUCUCCGUGCGCAGCCCAGAUGGGAAACUUGUGUGGAAGGUACUGGGGACUGAGUACAAAGUGCUGAACAUCAGCUUAAGUACGAGACUAAGCUGGGGAAACACAUGAAUGACUAAGCCCAAAAGGUACUGCGAGGGCCUGGUGACGCAGGAAUUUAAUUCCAGCACUCACUGGGGCAGAAGCUGGGACUUUUGGCCUAGACUGGUCUACACUGUGAGCACCUGGCUCAAAUAAAGAAUGCUAACGACCAAGUUUAGCAAGUACUGAGGACUAAGUCCCUGAGGACUAAGGGUCUGCUAAGGACUAAAUUCCAAAACCACUGAGCACUGAGUUCAAAAGGAUACAUGGCCCUACAUCUAAAAAGUGCCAAGACUCAAGACUUCAAGGUCCCAGGAACACAUGAUACUCUGCGUCUAGCUCACCGGUUCUCAUCGUUGGCCCAGAGGUCCGGAUGGUCCUUCUCAAUGCCAUCAUCCAAGAUGGAGACCACCACUCCCCGGCCAGUCAGUCCCUGGUUCCAAACCUUUAGGAUGUUGAGAUCUUGUUCUAUCUCCUUGUUCUAUGAGAGGUAAGGAGGGACCUGGGGUCAGAGCGUCUCGGGAUGGUCUCCCUUGUCCACCCCAUCCAGUCCAAGUGCUCACCAUGUACCACUGCUUGGAAAACCAGGGGUCUGUGGGUACCACCAGGGAGCGCUUCACCCGCCGCCUCAAAGUCUGCUGCUCAAACCACCGCACCUGCAGGGGGCAUGGGGGCUGAACCAGCUACUGCCUCCAGGGGUGGGGGACCUCAGGCAGAAGGGCUGUAGACCUCCGAGGAGGUCCUUGCUAACUGACAGGCACGUUGGCAGGAGCUGCUGCUUGGGUCCCCGACAAUCCUCAAAGCUGUGUUCUCAGACACCAUCAGGCCUGAUGAUUCAUGAGUCAAACCGCUAGGGGCAAGUGUGGCUCGUCUGCCCAAUUCCUCCCCUCCCCCCUUUCCUAGGUCCUUCUUGCCAAGGUCUGCAGCGUGAUUUUUUUCUUAUGAGACAAGGUCUCACUGUGUAACUCUUGCUGGCCUGAGGCUCACUGUGGAGAUGAAGCUAGCCUUGAACUCUGGAGUGCUGGGGUCAAAAGUGAUGCGGCACUUCAAAACCCCCAGCACGCAUGAAAGUCUUCCUUCGUCAGGACACUCCCUUGUCACACGACCUCCACAACCUCCACGUUUCUACUCCUGUUUUCCAUUUGUAUUCCCAGCGCUCGUUCUCUCUCCCUCCCUCUCAUUUCUGUGUGUGUGCCCUCACAUGCGUGCACCAUGGUGUAUAUGUGGAGGUCAAAGGUCAAGUUGUGGGCCUGGAGAGGUGCCCCAAGGCUUAAGAGCGCUGGCCGCUCUGGCAGAGGAUCUCGGUUCAAUCCCAAGUAUCCACAUGGCUCACGGGUACCUGGAACAAGCUCUGACUAGAUCUUAUGCCCUCUUCUGAGCUCCUCGAGCACCUGCACACAUGGGUACAGACGCAUGGGUACAGACCGGCCAGCCAAGUACUAAUCCAUGUUAAUAAAAACAAACACAAAGAGGACAAUCCUAAAUUCUUUAAAAAGUAACAGAGGUGCAAGGAGGUUGCGGUGCCGGGAGGUGGCGGUGCACAUCUUUAAUCCCAGCAGAGGUGGGCUGCUCUGUGUUCCUGGGAAAGCCAGGGCUACACAGAAAAAACGCUGACUUGAAAAAUAAACAGGGGCUGGGGAUUUAGCUCAGUGGUAGAGCGCUUACCUAGGAAGCGCAAGGUCCUGGGUUCGGUCCCCAGCUCCGAAAAAAAAGAACCAAAAAAAAAAAAAAAAAAAAGAAAAAUAAACAAAAAGGGACUGGGGAUUUAGCUCAGUGGUAGAGCGCUUACCUAGGAAGCGCAAGGCCCUGGGUUCGGUCCCCAGCUCCAAAAAAAAGAACCAAAAAAAGAAAAAUAAACAAAAAAGUAACCGUGGGAGUCAGUUUUCUCCUUCUACCUGGAUCUGCGGAUUGAGCUCAGCU